rnacentral:rRNA from 1 species
UACGUAGGGCGCAAGCGUUGUCCGGAAUUAUUGGGCGUAAAGAGCUCGUAGGCGGAUGUGUCAGUCAGGGGUGAAAUCCCGGAGCUCAACUUCGGAACUGCCUUUGAUACAGCACGUCUUGAGUCCGAUAGAGGUGGGUGGAAUUCCUAGUGUAGAGGUGAAAUUCGUAGAUAUUAGGAAGAACACCGGUGGCGAAGGCGGCCCACUGGAUCGGUACUGACGCUGAGGUGCGAAAGCGUGGGGAGCAAACAGG